rnacentral:misc_RNA from 1 species
AAAAAGGGGAGUACACCAGACACUGAGGAUUUAUGUCCUCACUUCUACUUCAAAAGAAGCAUAGUUCGGUAUAACCAUGUGAGUAAGGCAAGAGCUCCUCCACCUCAAUUCUUGAGCUUGAACGUCUCACUUUCCUCAAUCUAAUGUGUUCUGAUUCAACCUCGGCCAAAAACAUACUGAAAACAGGUCUAUGAUCUGAAAAUCUAGACUCCCCACGG